UGGUUUUACUUAAUCAAGUGUCCCAGGUAACAAGCCGUCCGCCCGUUUGUGUUGGCAGUUUUCAAAGGUGAGGGCCGGAUAAACACGGAGCCUCUCUGUCGGAGCUGGGGCUCGGAGAACGGGGUGUCCUGAGCCCGCCAGAGAGAGCCUGUUACACAAAGUCACUCCCUCCGUGUCCAGGACUCGCAUGAUUAGAUCCCUGGCCGCAGCCCAGUCUUCCCUGAGGAAGCAACGCACGACGGACGAACAGGCCUAAAAGCGGGGAGAAGACAUUUCUGCUCUGCUCCAGGUCAACAACCCACCAGACUUCAUUCCAACAGCCUGGGCUGACCUCUGACACCUAUCCAAAGUGAAAUCUGAAGAUGAGAACACGAGCUUUGGCAGGUGACUUUACCGGAGGCCCCCUCCUGCAGCACAUCCCCAUGAGGAGUGCCCUCGGCCCUUCCCCCGUCUGAAAGGGUGUGUGUGAGUUCCAGAGGUGGCAGGUGUCCCGGCAGGGAGGACUCUGGGGACCCUGGGCACUGGGAGAACUUGUGAGAGCAGCUAGGAGGUCCUGGGAGCUCUCCGUCCAAAAGCCCCGGGUGGACACACAGCAGGUGUAGCAAUGCCCCGACAGCCACAGCUCCUGAUCUGGGUCAGGCCAUGGGGCCAUGGUCAGCCACACCACUGAGGUGAAGACAAGAAAUCCCAGGGGAGUCCACGUGGGCCAGAUAUGUACAGAGGGAGACACAGAAUCGGAAGCAGGCUCCAGGCUCCGAGCUGUCAGCACAGAGCUGGACGCGGGGCUUGAACUCACAAGCUGCGGGAUCAUGACCUGAAGUCGAAGCCGGACUGCUCCGCGGGAUAUACAGCAAAGUUCCAGAGAAUGGCCAUGGAGGCCAGGGUCAAAGUGUUCUUUUGCCUGGAACGGUUCUCUGGGUUCAUCUCCUGCAGGAAGCUCGUGGAGACCGAGGUCGAGGAUACGAUUCUGGAUCCUGUGCAACAGGCACAGUUCCAAGCAACAGUCGCUCUAAUUUCCCAACACGCAUGAAGCAAUUUCUUUUAACUCAUGAAUUUGCAAAGCGGCAACAUAAUAAGGUGAACAGAAUUGAAUUCAUGCUAUGGCAUAAGUUAUCGGUAGGUUAUUAAACAAUUACGUUAACCAUAAGUAUAGAAAGCUAUAGAUGUGCAUCAACUUCAAACCCUGCACGCACGUAACUGCAUUGUGAGACUAUUACUAACGUCCGUGGCCCUGGUCCUCGGCCAGUGGCCUGGCCCCAAUUUGUCUGAGCGCUUCACUCUAGUCACCUGGCUCUGUAUGUCACCACCUCUAUGUCCCAAGCUAGUCCAGACCAGCCUGAGUCAGACUUGUCUCCUCCCUGAGUCAGCAGGGACAGGUGACUGCAGAGACACUCCAUCGCCCUUGCUCAGAGUUCAGCUGGAGAAGUGUAGAACCUUCCUACAAAAGGUACGACUGCAUCCUCAAAGCUGGAUUGCUCUCUGGCCUCUGGCGGUCCCCUGUGCCUUUGCAAAGGAUAAAAGGCCCGGACGUUAUGUGUCUUUGUACUUCCUGAGUGUUCCAUGAACCCCUGUGACAUGCUCACUGCUGGAGAAAAGCCUGUGAUAGGAGGCGGUAGAAAGAGAUUUCCAGACCUUGUGGGCACCCAGAAGGGGAAGUUGCUCCUUUCACUGAGGGAUGCCUGGACACCCCUUGUGCCCAUGGUAAGCCUUCCUCUCCAUGAUGAUUUCCUGUCUGUCUCUCAGUAUCAAAUCCCUCCGCCCACCACCCCCAGGUAUGAAGCCCGGAGCUACAAAGCAACCACGAGGGACAAAAUGCUGCCUCACCGAGGUUAUGGGUUUACCAUUUUCAUGCUGAAUGUGAAGUGUCUGAGAUACACAAAAGAAUAAAAUGGCUAGCCAGACUGCUUGAGGAAUAAUCCUAGAGAACCAUACGUACCUAUUAACUGGGUUUUAAUAAGAAGUCCCCUUUGUUUUGUUUUGGCUGGUACUGUUUUCCUCCAAUCUUUCUAAAAUGUAAGCAAGCAGCAUGGUAUACAGGAAAAUAAAUGAGGUUGUUGGAUGGGCA